GAUUUGGGGGAACUCCCUAACUUUAGGUCGAAACUAAACGUAAUUUACUUCCAAAUCA
rnacentral:tRNA from 1 species